GUCGACAGUCAUAGGAGCGGGGAAACACCCGGUCUCUUUCCGAACCCGGAAGUUAAGCCCGCUCGCGUUCCGUGUGGUACUCCAGUGCGCGAGCCUGCGGGAAGCACGGAACACCGUCGACA
rnacentral:rRNA from 1 species